CUCAGUUUUCCAGUCGGACGAACGCAAGUACUUCACGAGUUUCCCUCAUCCCUCUCAGGCGGACAAGCUCGGUCCCGGCCCGUGAGGCGGCCGAGCCCCCGCCCCCUACCCCGGCCCCCGGCCGCCCCGCACGCCACGGCCCCGCUCGCCGCGGACGCCGGACCUCCCCGCCUCAGGGCGCGCGGAGACCCUGGUGGCCCCGCCUUCCCCCCCGGUAACGGGAGCUGCCGCGGGUCGGCGGGCAGAGCAGACGCCCCCAUCCAGCGCCCUCAGGUUUGCUCGCGACCCUCCAGAGCUCAGUUAACGGCACCACUGGACACAGGACUGAGCUCCACAAGAGGAAGAACUACAUUGGCCUGGCUCACAGAGCAUCCACAACCACACCAUUGAAGACCAGGGAGUAUCAUUCCUACUCCAGUCCAUAUACAAUUCGUAUGAACAGUUUCCCUUGGAGUCAUGUAACAUGAUAGCUAUAGGGAUGGUCUGUUGGAGGGAAAAAGACAGAAAGCUGUUUCUACAUUGUUGGAUUCCAUAAUGGCAGAGAAGGAGAAGAAACAUUUUUGAAGGCCAUGGAGGGGGGAGAACAAAGAGGCAGGGACUUGGGAAACGGAGACACUGUGGAGUGUGAGUGUUUCAAGGUGAGUGCGUGCACAUGGCCGAGAACAUUUUUCUCUGCAGGAUAUCUGUAGGGUUCACUUGCUUUCCCUUUUGUAAGUUUAUUUUCAUUUUAUUUAAGAAAGAGCCCUUCCACCCAUUGACUCACUCCCCAGGCACAGACUGCUGGCUACAGUCAGGGCUGAGUCUGGUCGAAGCCAGGAGCACUGACCUGACCUGGGUCUGCCUCAGCUACUCGAGCCAUUACCUUCUGCUAUCCGAAGUGGAUAUUUUCAGCAAGUGGUGUGGAGCUGAGACUCAAACCCAAAUAUUCCACAUGAGAUGCAAGUGUCCCAAGGACAAUCAGUGUUCCAAAUGCCCACUCCUGACAGCUCUUUUCCCUAGGACCGUCCUGAGACCAUGUUUAUGAAAUCCCAGAUGUG